GGCGCACGGGUUGAGUAACGCGUGGAUAAUCUACCCUUUAGCUGGGAAUAACUCAUCGAAAGGUGGGCUAAUGCCCGAUAAUACUGCUUUUACUGCGGUGAAGCAGUCAAAGGUAGCCUCUGUUUACAAGCUUUCACUAAAGGAUGAGUCCGCGUACCAUUAGCUAGUUGGUAGGGUAAUGGCCUACCAAGGCGACGAUGGUUAGCUGGUCUGAGAGGAUGAUCAGCCACACUGGAACUGAGACACGGUCCAGACUCCUACGGGAGGCAGCAGUGAGGAAUCUUGCGCAAUGGGGGAAACCCUGACGCAGCAACGCCGCGUGAGUGAGGAAGGUUUUCGGAUCGUAAAGCUCUGUCA
rnacentral:rRNA from 1 species